rnacentral:lncRNA from 1 species
UUGAAAAUUGGUGGAGGAAAGCUUGAUUUCUUAACUUGGAAUUAAGCACCUAGAGUUUCUUGUUCUUGGAGAUUGAUCUUUGAGAGAAACCCUAAUUUGGUGUUAUGAAUGAAUAAUGAAUUUAUGAGCUAUGGUCUGGUAUAAUUAGGGGUUCAAACGGGUGAAAAAGACCCAAAUACCCUUUUAAAAAUGGCUUAAAAAUCAUUGAAUGGGUCUGCGAUGGCUCAUGCGAUAGUCCAUCACUGGAUCAAUGGUCUGUCGUUCUGACCAUCGCACAUGGACCAGAAUAGGGACUUACGGCCUUAGUAGUGACGGCUUAGGCGAUGGUCCAUCGCAAGUUCGACGGUUAGUUAAGCUGUCCGUCGCACCUUAGCCAGAAGAUUGACUUACUGCCUUAGCUGCGAUGGUUUAGGCGAUGGUCCAUCGCUAGAUCGAUGGUCUGUCAACCUGCCCAUCCCACCUGGGCUGUUCUGACAACUCUCAGUAAAACAUCCAUAACUUUUUCCUCCGUUAUCGAAUUUGGACAAAAUUGGUAUCGUUGAAAAGUUAAUUUAAUUUUUCACAUGAUAAAAAGUCAAAAUUGGGGAAAUUAUAUCUAAUUUAAAUAUUAACCAUUUAGGAAUUCAUCACUAACUCUUCUGGAGACUAUAUUUGCCUUAAAGAAAGUUCGGGGUUUUACUGUCACGCCCUUAUUUUCUCGCGAAAAGCAGGAUUCCACUUGACAAACUCUUUUUGGGUUUGGAUGAAGGAAGGGGUGUGAGAGUCACCACCUAACGUAUUAAGGUACGUUAGGGCAUCAGUCUAGGAUACUACGAACCUAUUUUUUUGUUAUUUAGUUUUAGUUCACCAGAGUUCCGGUAAGGGCUCAAAUUACCUCGAAAGGAAGGUGUUAGUCACCUUCCGAGGUACACAAAGGUGGUUACCAAUUGAAUUCAUACUUUACGUGGGGAUUCUAUGUGAUCAAAUAAAGGUCUCAUGUUUUAUUAUUAACUUGAUGUUUAGCUUAUCGAUAAUAUAAUUAAUAAGCAAACACGUCAUUUGUUAAUUCUAAUGGUCAAUUAUCUAGGUAAUAAAGAUAAAUAAAAUAUGUAAAUAAGACAAGCAAGGAGAAAGAAGGCAAGAUAAUUUAAUAAUGGGAACUGCUUAUGUAAUAAACUAACUACCCCAAAUAAACAUGUAAAGUAAAUAAAAAGACUAAAAAAAGAUACUGUCCAAUUCAAACAAAGAAAUGUUUUGGUUUUAUUCAGAUGAGAAACCCAAAUUGCUAAGCGUCAUCCGACCAAAGGGCUAAAAUCUUACACAAGUAAUAAUGUCAUUAGCCUCGCCGUUAAUAUUUUGUUGGGAUCAUCAUUUCUGAAUGACUACCUGUCCUACCCCACCUAGGCUGGAUGUCAAGUCUAAGGGCGUUCUAUGACAAGGAGAAAAUUAAUGUUUUUAGUAAUACUUAACAUCCCACCUAUCGUCCAAGAGGCAUUAGACUUUACUAAUUUUGAAUUUGUGUUCUAGAUGAGAAGAAAACUAUGUUGCCUAGGACUCGAAGCGUGUAACACGUUGGACCACAAGUAGCACAUAAUUGUCCCAAGUUAGCCUCUUGGUUAAUAAAUGAGUUGAUUAAUAUGGUAAGCAUGCCAAGACAAAUAAUUAAUUGCUACAUCAUUAACCUAUAGGCAUGGUGUCUAAAUGAUCAACGAUUCAUGAUAAAAGACUGUGAUUCGUGUAUGCAACAACCUUAUGUUUGUUCAUGAGAGGUAUCAAAAGUGUGGUAAAUGUGUCAAGAAAAUGUGUUGUGAAUUAAGUGUUAUAAACUAUAAUAAGAAUACAAGAAACUAGUAAAAUAUUAAAGGAUUUGUUAACAUGUUAGGGAUGCACUUAAAUGCGGAGAACAAAUUAACAUGUAGAAAAUGUAGAGAAUUACUAGUAUUUUAGCAUGCUGAAAGUCAACUAAGCAUGCUGAAAAAUUAAUUAAACAUGCUAAAAAAGUUAAUUGAACAUGCUGAGAAUAAGUUAAGGCACAGUAUUUUCAUGUUGAUAUGCUGAAAACAUGCCAAGAAUGCGUAAAAUCUAAUAUUUUAACAUUCUAUAAAUGUAGGGAACUAGCAUUUUAAGCAUGCUGGAAUUCAGUUUAAGUGCUGAAAUUUAUUUAGAUGCGCAGAAAAAUCAUUUAAACAUGUUGGAAAUUAAUCUAAAAUUGCUAAACAUGAUGUUAGACAUGCUGAAACUUUGAUGUUAACAUGCUCAAAUUAUUUUAAUAUGCCUAAAACUGUGUCGACACACCUAAACAUGUAAAGACAUACUAAAUAAGUUGUGCUUAACAUGCGAAAAUUAAUGUAAUAAGCUAACGUAUCGAAAAUAUUAUCAUGCCUUAAUUCAAUGUGGAUAUGUUAAAAAGAUAUUAGCAUGCUUAGGUUCAAAUCAAUAUGCUUAACAUGCAGAAAUACGUCAACAGGCCUAAUGUUAAAUUAAUAAGCUUCAUAUCAAUUAAUAUGAUACAUCAAUUUUAGAUAGAUAAGAGUAAUUAAUAAACUAUAGCAAGAUUCAUAUUAAUAGACCCUAAUUUUGUGCCUAGAUGAUUCAAAUAACACGUCCUGCACGUAAUCCUAGGUUGUGCCUACCUGUACCAUUUAUAGAGCACAUAAUCCCCGCCCCCCAAAGCAAUCCCCAAGAAAUUAUAUUAUUACAUCGAUAAUAAUGUCUUUACACAAUAUUAAAAAUCAAAUAAUAAGAAAGUACACUCAAGCUAAUACAAUCUAAUUAUUAAACUAAUUUGGUUACUCUUCGAAACCCGUAGUAGUCUACUUAAACCUGCGAAAUAAGAUGUAAUGGCAAGCAAAGCAAGAAUAUAUGAUGAACAUCAAAAUUUUCUAUAGACAUGUUUUCUAAAGGUUGUCACGACAUGAUGCAGUCAACACACAAAGAAAAGAAAAUUGCAUCGAUUCGUGAACUUACCAGUGAUUAGCAGUAAGAGAGAUAAAUAAUAAUAGAAGCCAAAAGCCAAGUAUACGUAAUAGCGAGAUAUGCAAGAUGUUAACAGCAGCCUCUAAAGAGAAACAAAUGCACUUAAAAAUUUUAAUUACCUUUGUAAAAAGUAGCCAAUGAUUUUUUGUUAAGAGUAGUAGUAGUAAUCGUAAUUGUGAGACUUGAGAACCUUUUACUGUCUCUUUUUGUGAAUGAAGGGAUGGGUUUAUAUAGUGUCAAAGAAAUCAGUCAGCCGAGACAAAACAGGAAAAGAAAUAUUCCACCCCUUUAAUUACUGAAGUGAUAUUAUGUAAGAUCAGUCGGGGGUAAAAAUAAGAAAGAGGAGAAAUCAAUCACCCAUAAUUUCCUUAAAAGAAGGCUUGCUCAAUCAAUUGUUUCAUGUUUUCCAUAAAUAAGUGGGUAAGAAAAGAUACUAAGUUGAAAGAGGAAAAAUAAUAACAAAAACACGUAUCAUUAACCAUAUAUACUCAAAUUAAUUUAAAGCCAUCCAUUAAUUCUAUAAAAAAGCCCAGAAUCCAUUGUCAAUUUGGAAAAAACACAAUCAAUAUUUUAUCAUAAACACUGAUUCAAAUAUAAUCCAUGUAUAGCACCUUUCAAUAACAAGCAGCAGUCAGCAAUCACAUUGAAUGUUAUAUUUGAGGGUUUUCACACAUAAUAGUCCAACGAUAAACAUAUAGCUAGAUAAAUUAAAUCUCACUGACAGUCAGAUAUGAUAAACCUUAGACAAUUCGGGUGACGAAAAGAACAUUCAAAUCAAAUCGAUAACAAACAUGCUAUUAAGGAAACAAACCGUAUAAUAGUCAGAUCUUAGGGGGUGCUAUUUCUAUUGUUGGUGGCACCGGAGAUGAAGGGGAUUGCAGAUUUGGUGCGGCGUGAGAGAGAGGCGAAAAAAAGGGGUCGAAUCGCGGCUGGUGGAGGUGGCAGAUCUGGGGGUGACACUGGAGUGGUGGCUCCGAUCAGCGAUGGUAGGCUGGUCGUUCUUGGUUUCACCAGAGAAGAUGGCCCUGAGGCUGGUUGCAUGGAGGUGGCAUGGUGGUUUUUAUGGUCGAUUAGUGAUGAAGAGAUCGGAGGAGGGGGAGAUCAAGAUUUGGAAGAGUUUUGUAGAGAGAGAAGAGGGCAAAGAGAAGGGCUCUCCGGUGAUGACCAUUAAUUGGCCGUGUAUUAGCAGAUGAUAUAUACAUGGGUUCGCGAUGUAUUGCCACUAGAAAUCAAGACAUUGGCAUUGGACUUGUAAAUCGAUACUGCUCUAGUGGCUUUCGAAUGGAGUCUUCCCCAAUUACGUCUUUAAGUUCUUCCUUAGGAAGUCGAUUUAUUAGAGAAGAAACCUCGUUCUGCUCAAGUUCAACUUUGAUAAAAUCAUUGUCUCGAAUUUCAAUCCAUUCUUCAUAUAGUAUGUUGGGAAGGGCAUUUAGAUUAGGAAGUCCCGAAUUCACUGCCGAAGGAGAGGAAGGAGUCAGAACUGAAGCUGUGGCAUUUCAUUCAGUCCUCGUUCUCGUAUAGUUUCACACCGCUGCCAGAACCUCUAAAUCUCAUAAGAGAAGAAAGCGUAAAAAAGAAAGAUAAGGACGGCUAGCCUUCUCUCGUCUAUCUUGGUAUUUGUAUUGAGAAAUCCGCGGGUAUCCGGUAUAAAGUAGGGAGGCUUCGUGUGAUAUAUAUAUAAGUCAUAGACUAAGCUCUUUGAGAGGCUAACCAGAAAUAUCUUAUUAAGAGAACUGAGUUCGAUUCGAUUAUAGGCUAGAUUAGAUUCACGCUAUGCUAGUUGCGUAUAGAAGUUCGAAGAAGCAGCAAUCUUAUAUAGAAACUUGUAUUUUAUAGAAAAAGUUAGUGCGCCAGGCAAGGAAACAUAUCAUAUAGAUAGAAGGGAUACCGCCUAAGCUGAGUUAUGAGCUCUGACACGAUGGCUCUCGAAUCCAGGCGCGCAGGUAUAAAGGAGGUGCGAGGUUACGCUCCCGUAGCCUGUCUGUCCGUCACUCCAAAGUAGUCGAGGAGUGUCUUAGGUACGUAACCCUAGCUUGACUCCUGCUCUCCGAGUUACGAGCCAUGUAGUGCCCGCCAAGCACUUAAUCGACACCCGACAGUUCGUGAAUGAGAUUGUGUUAAGUGCCGCUCUAGCGCCCGAAACCUUCCCAUAGCACGGUUGAGUCGGAACCGACAAUGACGAUGCCCCUCCCAACAGUCCGAAGGUCCGAAAGGAGGCACUUCACUCCCUUUCUCUCCUCGUUCUUCUGCUGGAUUGCUGCUCCCGCGCUUUACCCCAAUGGACCACAACGAAGAGACCGAAUCGGAUGACUCUCUAUAUCAUCUUCUUCAGGGCCCUUUCCUAUUCUACUUUUUUAAUAGUGUCAGAAAGGAUUUGACAGUUGAUUCCGCGGAAUCACCAACGUCUGUUUACUUGUACGAGCGAAGUCUUCACCCCGAUCUCGAUCCAUAUCCAUAUGUAAGAAAUAAACAAUUGAUAAACAUAACGUGAAUGCGAUAAUAAAGAAAUCAUAUCUGUUGUUUCGUGGAAUCGUGUGAUCAGCUGCUUGGCUUCUCAUCAUGGGAUCAGCUUUUGGGCUUCUUUAUGCAUCGUGAAAUUGUGUAAUCAGCUAUUUGGCUUCUCAUCAUAGGAUCAAAUUUUGGGCUUCUCCAUGCAUCAUGAAAUCGUGUGAUCAGCUACUUGGCUUCUCAUCGUGGGAUCAGUUUUGGGCUUCUCCAUGCUUUAUUAAAUUGUGUGAUCAGCUACUUGGUUGCUUGUGAUGGGGUAAUCUAUACCUGUUAGUCCUACCAUUUUUAGCUCAACUGGAUAAAAUGGUUGGCAUGGAUAUAUAUGUAUGUAUAGAAGAUUUGAGAAAUAUAGUGAAAAUAACUAUAGCAAGAGGAGAUAAGAAAGCAUAUUUGUUAUGAGAGAGCGAUGCUUUUUUCAUUUAUAUUUAAAGAGAUUGUGCUUAAUCCUCACCAUAUUCUGUAAAGUAGUAGAAUUUAAUAACGCCGAGGCGGUUGUGCUUAGUAUUAAAAACAAUAUUCGUCUUUAAGAAACCUCAUCGACUUCCAGAGGGAAAUGCUUAGCUUCAGACAAUUUCUCGAGAGAGGGUAGUGCUCAACCCAACUAACUUUCAAGGAUAGUGCUUAGCCUUAGUCAGUUUCUCAAAAGAGGGUAGUGCUUAACCCACUUAACUUUUCAAGGAAAAUGCUUAUCCUUAGAGAGUUUUUGAUAGAGUAGUUCUUAACUCCAUUGAGUUUCCAAAAUAAUGCUUAGUUCGAAUAAUUUCUCAAGAGAGGGUAGUGCUUAACCCAACUAACUUUCAAGGACUAUUUUUAGCCUCAGUCAGCUUCUUGAAAGAAGGGAGUGCUUAACCCACUUAACUUUCCAAGGACAAUGCUUAUCCUUAGAGAGUUUUGAUAGAGUAGUGCUUAACUCCAUCGAGUUUCCGAAACAAUACUUAGUUCAAAUGAUUUCUCGAGAGAAGGUAGUUCUUAACCCAACUAACUUUUAAGGACAAUGCUUAGCCUUAGUCAGCUUCUCGAAAAAGGGUAGUGCUUAACCCAUUUAACUUUCCAAGGACAAUGCUUAGCCUUAGAGAGUUUUUGAUAAAGUAGUGCUUAACUCCAUCGAGUUUUCGAAAUAAUGCUUAGUUCGGAUGAUUUCUCAAGAGAGGGUAGUGCUUGACCCAACUAAAUUUUAAGGAUAAUGCUUAGCCUUAGCUUCUCGAAAGAGGGUAGUGCUUAACCCACUUAACUUUCCAAGGACAGUGCUUAGCCUCAGUCAACUUCUCGAAAGAGGGUAGUGCUUGACCCACUUAACUUUCCAAGGACAAUGUUUAGCAUUAGAGAGUUUUUGAUAGAGUAGUGCUUGACUCCAUCGAGUUUCUGAAAUAAUGCCUAGUUUGAAUGAUUUCUCGAGAGUGGGUAGUGUUUAACCCAACUAACUUUCAAGGACAAUACUUAGCCUUAGAGAUUUUUUGAUAGAGUAUUGCUUAACUCCAUCAAGUUUUCAAAAUAAUGCUUUGUUCGGAUAAUUUCUCAAGAGAGGUUAGUUCUUAACCCAACUAACUUUUAAGGACUAUGUUUAUCCUCAGUCAGCUUCUCAAAAGAGGGUAGUUCUUAACCCAUUUAACUUUCCAAGGACAAUGCUUAGCCUUAGAGAGUUUUGAUAGAGUAGUGCUUAACUCCAUCGAGUUUUUGAAACAAUGCUUAGUUCGGAUGAUUUUUUUAGAGAGGGUAGUGCUUAACCCAACUAACUUUCAAGGACAAUGCUUAGCCUUAGUCAUCCUUUCGAAAGAGGGUAGUGCUUAACCCAUUUAACUUUCCAAGGACAAUGCUUAGCCUUAGUCAUCCUUUCGAAAGAGGGUAGUGCUUAACCCAUUUAACUUUCCAAGGACAAUGCUUAGCCUUAGUCAUCCUUUCGAAAGAGGGUAGUGCUUAACCCAUUUAACUUUCCAAGGACAAUGCUUAGCCUUAGUCAAUUUCUCGAAAGAAGGUAGUACUUAACCCACUUAAAUUUCCAAGGACAAUGCUUAUCCUUAGAAAGUUUUUGGUAGCAUAGUGCUUAACUCCAUUGAAUUUUCAAAACAAUGCUUAGUUUUGAAUAAGUUUGUGAGAGAGGGUAGUGCUUCACCCGCUCAGAAUAUAGGAUGACAAUAUUUAACCUUAUAUUUUCUGAUGGUGUAUAGUAUACUCAAGAUUUGUACUCAUCAUUUUAUUCCUGCACUCAAAAGAACUUGUUAGUUUUAAAAAAGGGGAAGAUUGAUUCGUGUCUCUGACGGCUCCUUUGUUCAGUCCCGAAUUCAUUGUAUUUAUAUCGAUUUCUUGAGAUGUAAUCCUUGAUGAAAUUUUUGAGGAUUCCUCAAAAAUUUCUGGCCCGGUUCAUAGCCUCAAUCUUGCUAGCCUUUAAUUUGUUGAAAUUCUUCUUGAUAGAAUUUUUUGAGACUCUCUCGAAAAUUCUUCCCCAGAUACAUGUCUGGUCCAUCUUAAACUUGUAGAAUCGUAGAUUUUUGAAUUCCUUUCGAAAAUUCUGCCCCAGUUACAUGCUUCAAGAGAAUAUGAAAAUUUUACUAUGAUAAGACCGAACUACAUAGGAUCACCUACGUAUAUCUCUUAAACGAGAAUCAAGUCGAAUGUAGUUCAACUUACAUAAGAGAAAUUCAUAUUGUUCCAAGCAUAUAUAAAGGUUAUAGUAACUCAAGUGCUUGAGAUCCUGGAAUGAGGAAACGAUGUGAUAUCUCUUCCUUAAUGUCAAAUAGAUGUCAAUGCUUAAUCAACAUCAAGAUAUGGCCCCAUCACAACUAUCACCUUGGUAUCAAUUAGUGCUUAAAUUUUGUUUUUUAAAGUACGACAUUCCUCUGUGGUGUGGUCUGUCAUCCCUGAAUGAUAAGCACAAACUUUGAAAUGAUAAACCCAUUUCGCACAUGUAUUCAUUACAAUUUCAAGAAUUGGAGUAAUGUAGCCAUCAACCCUUAAUCUCUCAUAAAGAUGGUCUACAGGCUCGGCCAAAGAAGUGUACUAUCUUGACUAAUUUUUUUGACGUUUGGUUUAAGAUUCGAUGAAUUGAUUGGUUCAUAGAGUUGUUGGUGGGUUUUGACAAGCUAAUGAUUGUGGAAAGGUAGCUGGAGGUAAUUGGGAGUAAGGAGGUUGUUGAAAUGGAUAUGAAGGUGCUUGAUAUAUGGGUAUUUGGUUUUUAGGAUUUUGCAUAGUCAAGACAGUAUUUACUUCCUUCAUGUCAUUGUUCUCACCGGCCUUUGGAGUCUUAAUCGCUUGCAGUGCUUCCAGAUUUAUUAUCAUGUCAUUUUUAAUGCCUUCUUCAAUUCUCUAACCCAAUUUGAUGAUGUCAACAAGAUUUCGAUCCUCUACAAGAAUCAUUCUUUCAUAAUAUUGUGGCUUUUGGACACGUAUGAAAAAUUCUUUCAUUUGACCUUCCUCUAAAGGAGGACGCACCUUAAAAGCUUCACGUAUCCAUCUUAUUCCAUAUUCUCAAAAUGAUUCUGUAGGUUUCUUCUUUAACUUCUGAAUAUAGAACCAAUCAGGUGUAUUCUCAACAUUAAACUCAAAUCUUUCUAUAAAAACAGAGGACAUGUCGGUCCAUUUUGACCAUUUUGUUGCAUCUUGUGUGACAUACCAUGAUAAGGCAUCUCCAGUGAGGCUCCUCAUGAAUAACUUCACAAGAAUCUGUUCAUUUUUACCAACUCCUGCCAACUUGUCACAGUAUAAUUUCAAGUGGACUUUUGGAUCUCUAGUCCCAUUAUACAAUUCAAAUCUAGGAGGUUUAUACCCCUCCGGCAGUUCAACAUCAGGGUAUAUGCACAAAUCCUCAUAACUUAGCCCGUUCAACCCCUUAUUGCCUUCAAGUUGUUCCAAUCUUUCAACUACGGAUGGCAUAAGGGCGGCGUUUGCUGGAGGUUUGGAUUUAUAUUGAUGGUGGGUAAAUAGGGUCGUUUUGGCAUAACUUGGAUCCAAAGUAUGGUUGUUUGGAUGCAGAAUAUUUAUGGUAAAUGUUGGCGGUGUAUUAUGGUCAUAUGAUGUUGUUUGAUCAUUUAGUAGAGCUGGAUCUGUGUGACAUUGCGGUGGACAAGAAUGUGGAUGUGAGUUAUAUUUAGGCAGUGUGUAUAUGUAGCUUGAAUUGUUUGGGGGUUGUGAAAUAGGAAGUGGUGGUAAGGGAUGGCUUGUGAAUGUGGCAUUAGAUUUGACAAUUAAAGAAAUUUCAACUGUUUGGAAGUCUGGAGUAGAGAAUCAGCAGGAUAUCUUCUUCACCAAUGUCAACAAGUGCCAGUCAAGCUUGAGAAAUCAGUCAGCUUCAGAAGUUGUCCCCAUCACGUUUAUCAUUUUGGUGUCGAUCAACUUUUGGUUCAUGAUCUUCAAAGCAAAGAACGCCUUAGUAGGAUGUCCUCUCAUCCCAGAGUGAUAGCUCCAAAUUUGGUCAGGACGAUAGCAUCAAGACUUAGGAUCACAAGUUACGGCAACAAUGGGCUUGAUGUCACCUACCUCCUUGAGUUGUUUAUACAACUGUUCUAUGGAUUCGCCCAGAGGAGUGUAUUGUUUUGGUGGAUUUUUCUGGAGCUCAUGUUGAUGUUUGGUGGAUUGUUGAUUUGUUGGUGGUUUUUGUGAGCGUAUUUGUCAUUUUGCAGAUUGUCACUUGAGUUCGAUGUUCAAAUGCUAGACAACUUAAAAUGAAAUAAACAAGCCCAAAUAAAAGUUAUCACAUAGCACAUAUAAGUUCAAAACAUAAUAAACAUAAAACAAAGGCAUCCUAGGAUGAAAACGAGGGGUUAAUAAUUAGACUAGGCGUAAAGAUUUAAGCUCCUAACGCAUGAAACAAGACAGUGAUGUAACGUGAUGUUGAAUUUGCAAUUGUAAUUGUAAAGAAGAUGAAAAUAUAAGGAAGGAACAAGGUCGACUUUUGUUGAACAUCAGAUUUGUUGAUUCACAUCAUAUUGUCGAUUCAUCCAACUCCGUACAGGAAAAUGAUAAAGCAGGGGAAAACAAAGUUUUAUUAUAGUGAGACCGAACUCAUUAAAUGAGCGCCUACGUAUCCACAAGGGAAUCAGGUCGAUCGUAGUUUAAAUUACAUCAGAAGGAAAACAUAAAAGAAACUGCAAAUUGUGAAACUUAGAGGAAUUUUGAAUGUUUGGAAGUCUGGAGCGAAGAAUCAAUAUGAUAUUCUCCACCAAUGUCAACAAGUGCUAGUCAAUCUUGAGAAAUCAAUCAGCUUCAGAAGUUGUUCCCAUCACGUUUAUCAUUUUGGUGUCGAUCAACUUUUGGAUCAUGUUAUUUAAAGCAAAGCACGCCUUAGUAGGAUGUCCUCUCAUCCCAGAGUGAUAGGUGCAAAUUUGGUUAGGACGAUAGCAUCGAGACUUAGGAUCACAAGGUAUGGCAACAAUGAGCGUGAUGUAGCCUGCCUCCUUGAGUCAUUCAUACAAUUGUUCUAUGGAUUUGCCCAGAGGAGUGUAUUGUUUUGGUGGAUUUUUCUGGAGCUCAUGUUGAUGUUUGGUGGAUUGUUGAUUUGUUGGUGGUUUUUGGUAAGAUAUUGGAAGGUAGUUUGAUGUUAUAGCAAUAAAUGGAUGUGGGUACCAAAUAGUUUAUGGAGGAGGUUUUGUGAAGGAUUGAGGAUAAUAAGCUUGGACGUAAUUGGAUGAUGGCACAAUUUAUAGAGCUUGGUACCAAUUAGUUGAGGUUGGGGUAUGAUUACUUUGACCUUUUAGUUUUUGAUGUCCCAUUGAUGAUCGUCUUUCCUUUGUCUCUGCAUUGUGACUCAACUAAAUCAAUCUCGGCUAUGGGCUUUCCCUUAAGCUCAUUGUCGAAUAGCCUAAUAAAGUCAAUUGCCAAAUCUUCCCAAGAGAUCCACUUGCUAGAAUCUUUUUUGGUGUACCACAUCAACGCAAGACUAGUAAGUGAGCUGACGAAGAUCUUCUUCUUAAGACUAUCACUUUGUCCUAUAACUGCUAGUUCGUCAAGGUAUGCCUCCAAAUGGGAAUGAGGGUUUCCUGACCCAUCAUAUAAUGGAAAGUUCAACUACUCAAUUCUAUCUUUGUCUUCUUCUUUAGCUUUGGUCGACUUAUUUAUCUCAGUUUGUUGAGAUGACCCCGCCUUAUGCUUAGAAAUUCAUCCCUUCGUUUCUUCUCCCUUACCCAUAGUGCUCAACCCAUUGGGUUCCUUCAGCAGUACAACUGAAUACCGACUUGAAGACACUUGUGCCCUAUAAUCAGGCAUGGGUGAGGUCGUUGAUAUAGGAGACGCAUAGUGUAGGUAGGAGCAAUGAAGUCAGCUUCGGAUAGUGGCUUCGGAAAAUCUGGUGGCAUUUCACCCAAACCUCUGAGAUUAGUCAUUUUCCUCCUAAUUCUCUCUAUUUUCCCUUCUAUCCUUCUGAUGUUCGAAAUAACUUUGUUUUGACGCAAUCCCAAAUUCUCAUGUUCAUCAUCGCUAUUGACAAGAUUGAUAAACAUUGCUUGACUAGCCAUGCUUGAUGUUCAACUUUAGUCAACCUUAGAAAAAAAGACUUAUGAUUAGAAAUAAAGAGUACGCACGGGAGUGUAGAAUGAAUAUUCUACUCAUUUAAAAAUAGUGAGUUAUGCUCAUUCAGAGUGAAUAGACGUUAUGAGAGCUAUAUGUGACUUAGGUGUUGUAAAAGCUAAAGCACGACAUGAGUACGAAGAUAUAAUCUUGGUAGGACAAUAGUAUGUAAACGUUAGAAACAUUAGGAAGAGGAUAUCUUAACAUAAUAAGUUGCACUAAGAGAUUGUGAAUAAGAUUAAAACUUUUAUCAAAGUAAGAGUUGAGCGUGGAGAUGAUCAAUAUGCUAACGGAUGAGUCAGGAGGACAAAUUGAAGGUAGGUAUUGAAUAGGUCCUAAGAGUGUAUUGUAGGGUCCAAACAUGAUAUGAAUUCUAAGAGUAAAGAGCUCUAAAGUGAGGAACACUAAAUAAAAUGAGUGACUCAGGCAAGAACGAUAACAACAAGAUAGGCAAGAUGUCACUACAUACAUAGACAUGCAACACAUAGCAAAUAAUUGUGAGUCCUUUUAUGGUUGUGAACCUUUUUGGACUUUGAAUGAGACUAACAUUCAACGCGUCAAGAAUGUCAUGGCAUCCUACGUUGAAUGGGACGUAUAUUCCUUAAUAAAAGAAAUAUGUAGCCAGGACCUAAAGGGAAUGAGUGGGUUUNNNNNNNNNNNNNNNNNNAUAUGGUUCUCUCAAGUGGACAGCUCGAGAGUGGGAAAGCUUGUGGCUGUCAACGCACCGCUGAUCGACCAAUCCAUAAGACAUUUUUUGAAGGGUGUUUUAAGAAAGAACGUCCGUGUAUUCACGCAACCAUUUGUAAAAGAAAACAAAAAAGGUUUCCAAGUGGAGGAAAGUAUGAGCGGGAUGCCAGUUUUAUAAAAGCAGUAACAUGUAGCACAUAGCAAAAUAUAAUAACAUGCUUAGCAACAUAAAAAUAAAUAAAUAUCAAAACAUAUAGCCAAUAAAAAGGAGAAGAGGGGAAAGAAUAGGCAUGAACAAAUAUGAAAACACAUAAAAAGAGAAGGAGAAGGGUUAACAAGUGAAAAAAUAAAUCAAGGUGUCAAAACAAACGAUAAUCAUGAAAAGUCACAAUCAAAAAUAAAAUUCAGACAUAUAAUAAAAUCUCACAUAAAACACAAACUCAUAAUGGUUAGAACCUAAGAUCUCCAGCAGAGUCUCCAUUCUGUUGCACCCCAAUUUCCUCGCGAAAAGCGAGAUUCGACUUGACAAACUCUUUUUGGGAUUGGGUGAAGGAAGGGGUGUGAGAGUUAACACCUAACGUAUUAAGGUGCGUUAGGGCACCAGUCUAGGAUAAUACAAACCUAUUUUUUGUUAUUUAGUCUUAGUUCACCAGAGUUCGAGUAAGGAUUCAAACUACCUCGAAAGAAAGGUGUUAGGCACCUUUCGAGGUCCACAAAGGUGGUUCUUGGCUGAAUUCAUACUUUACGUGGAGAUUCUAUGUGAUCAAAUAAAGGUCUCAUGUUUUAUUAUUAACUUGAUGUUUAGCUAAGGGAUAAUAUAAUUAAUAAGUGAACACAUGUCAUUUGUUAAUUCUAAUGGUAGAUUAUCUAGGUGAUAAAGAUAAAUAAAAUAUGUAAAUAAGACAAGCGAGGAGAAAGAAGGCAAGACAAUUUAAUAAUGGGGAUUGCUUAUGUAAUAAACUAACUAUCCCAAAUAAACAUGUAAAGUAAAUAAAAAGACUAAAAAAAGAAAUCAUCCAAGUCAAACAAAGAAAUGUGUUGGUUUUAUUCGGAUCAGAAACCCAACUUGUUAAUCACCAUCCGACCAAAGGGACGAACUCUUAGAUAAGUAAUAAUGUCAUUAGCCUGGCCGUUAAUAUUUUGUUGGGAUCAUCAUUUCCGAAUGACUACCUGUCCCAUCCCACCUAGGUUGGAUGUCAAGUCUAAGGGUGUUCUAUGAAAAGGAUAAAACUAACGUUUUUAGUAAUACUUCACGUGCCACCUAUCGUCCAAGAGGCAUUGG